rnacentral:misc_RNA from 1 species
GAUGAAGAACGUAGCGAAAUGCGAUAAGUAAUGUGAAUUGCAGAAUUCAGUGAAUCAUCGAGUUUUUGAACGCAUAUUGCGCCCUCUGGUAUUCCGGGGGGCAUGCCUGUUCGAGCGUCAUUAAAUAACCCUCAAGCAUAGCUUGGUGUUGGGCUUUUUUACGUCCUUGACUGGGAUGGGCCUAAAAAUUAGUGGCGAUGGCUUUUUUACUUUCAAGCGUAGUAAAUCUCGUCUUGCUAAAGAGGAAAAAGAUUUUUUUUCUGCCAAAAAUUUUAACAUUUAAAGUUGACCUCGGAUCAGGUAGGGAUACCCGCUGAACUUAAGCAUAUCAAUAAGCGGAGGA